AGCAGGGUGGCGCAGUGGAAGCGUGCUGGGCCAUAACCCAGAGGUCAAUGGAUCGAGAACAUUUCCUGCUA
rnacentral:tRNA from 1 species